GGCAGGUUGUGGGUAGCUAGAGAGGUAGUCUGAAUAAAGGCAGGUUGUGGGUAGCUAGAGAGGCAGUCUGAAUAAAGGCAGGUUGUGGAGAGGUAGUCUGAAUAAAGGCAGGUUGUGGGUAGCUAGAGAGGUAGUCUGAAUAAAGGCAGGUUGUGGAGAGGUAGUCUGAAUAAAGGCAGGUUAUGGGUAGCUAGAGAGGUAGUCUGAAUAAAGGCAGGUUGUGGGUAGCUAGAGAGGUAGUCUGAAUAAA